rnacentral:rRNA from 1 species
UGAGUGCUAGGUGUUAGNUCCUUUCCGGGACUUAGUGCCGACGCUAACGCAUUAAGCACUCCGCCUGGGAGUACGACCGCAAGGUUGAAACUCAAAGGAAUUGACGGGGGCCCGCACAAGCGGUGGAGCAUGUGGUUUAAUUCGAAGCAACGCGAAGAACCUUACCAGGUCUUGACAUCCCGAUGCCCGCUCUAGAGAUAGAGUUUUACUUUUUGUACAUCGGAGACAGGUGGUGCAUGGUUGUCGUCAGCUCGUGUCGUGAGAUGUUGGGUUAANUNNNNCAACGAGCGCAACCCUUAUUGUUAGUUGCCAUCAUUAAGUUGGGCACUCUAGCGAGACUGCCGGUAAUAAACCGGAGGAAGGUGGGGAUGACGUCAAAUCAUCAUGCCCCUUAUGACCUGGGCUACACACGUGCUACAAUGGUUGGUACAACGAGUCGCAAGCCGGUGACGGCAAGCUAAUCUCUGAAAGCCAAUCUCAGUUCGGGUUGUAGGCUGCAACUCGCCUACAUGAAGUCGGAAUCGCUAGUAAUCGCGGAUCAGCACGCCGCGGUGAAUACGUUCCCGGGCCUUG